rnacentral:rRNA from 1 species
GAUGAACGCUAGCGGCAGGCCUAACACAUGCAAGUCGGACGGUAAAAGCUGUAGCAAUACAGUUUGAGAGUGGCAAACGGGUGAGUAACGCGUAUGCAACCUUCCCUUGACUGGGGGAUAGCUCGGAGAAAUUCGGAUUAAUACCCCAUAAGAUUAUGGUGCGGCAUCGCACAGUAAUUAAAGAUUUAUUGGUCAAGGAUGGGCAUGCGUGCCAUUAGCUAGUUGGUAAGGUAACGGCUUACCAAGGCAACGAUGGCUAGGGGGUCUGAGAGGAUGGUCCCCCACACUGGUACUGAGACACGGACCAGACUCCUACGGGAGGCAGCAGUGAGGAAUAUUGGUCAAUGGGCGCAAGCCUGAACCAGCCAUGCCGCGUGAAGGAAGAAGGCCCUAAGGGUUGUAAACUUCUUUUGUAGGGGGGUAACACUGUGCUCGUGAGCAUGGAUGAAAGUACUCUACGAAUAAGCGUCGGCUAACUACGUGCCAGCAGCCGCGGUAAU